UCACACCAUUGAUUACUCGCCAUUCACACCAUUGAUCACUCGCCGUUCACUCCAUUCACUUGCCAUUCACUUCGCCCUGCACCCCGCCGCCCACAGCCACCGCAAUCUCUGCCGCCACUGCAGCCACGCAGCCCCCGCAUCAGCCCUCGCAGCUCCCCGCAACCCCCACAGCCUCGCAGCCCCUCAGCGGUGCAGCCACCGCAGCCCCUACACAGACACAGCCUCCACCGCCACCGUAGAAGAUCCGUUGAAGAUGUGACAGCCUCCAUCACUUUUUCACGUUUUCUUUGGAUUACUCCCUGCCUUCUCUCUCCGUUGAAGAUGUGACAUCCUCCGCUGUCGCCGCCGCCGCGGCUCGCGUAGCAUGAACUCUCUCCGUCGCCCUCAUCGCGUUUGUUCCCUUCGUUGCCAUCGUCGUACGAGCUCUCUCCGCCGUGCUCUGGUCUUACGAGCUCCUUCCGCGCCGCUCUCGUCACUGCUUCUUCUCUCCUCGCCGGAGGUUUGUCAUCAUCUCUUUUCGUCGCCGUUAGUUUAGGAGAAGGUUACGAACCCGUACAAAUCCAGAGGAAGAAGAGGAUCCUGAAGCAGAGGUUGAAGGUUCCACCAGCUUUGAACCAGUUCACCAAGACCCUUGACAAGAACCUAGGCAGGAGGUCUUGUUUUUAGAUAAUGAGAUUGCCUUCAAUGAGGCUAUCAUUGAAGAAAGAGAGCAAGACAUUCAAGAAAUUUAGCAGCAAAUUGGUGACGUAAAUGAAAUUUUUAAAGAUCUUGCUGUGCUUGUGCAUGAACAGGGAGCUAUGAUUGAUGAUAUUGGGUCCAACAUUGAGCAGUCUCAUGCAGCAACUGCACAAGCAAGAUCGCAACUUGCUAAAGCUUCAAAAACUCAAAGAUCAAAUUCUUCUUUGGUAAUAUACAUUGUGUAAUAUUUGCUUUAAGAUUUCACCUCUCACGUGUUGUUUUAGAUGUUGGGUGUGGGAGCCGUGCUUCCUUGUUCUUCUUCUUCUUCUUCUGAGCUCAACCCUGCAAUUCGGUCAGAGGUUUCAUUUUAUGUUGGUCUUGCCUCCUUCCUCAUCCAGACAAGAUUUUUCUUCUGCUGCAGUAGAUUCUAUUCAUUCAGAUUAACUACUAAAAGGUCUAUACAUGAUUUUUUAAAUCUUUGGGCUUGAGAUUGCAGCUUAUUCUUCAAUGAUUGACUGGGAUAUUUGUGCUUAUCUAUGGUUUUGUUGAGAGAAAGCAGUUUUCUGCUGACAUCUCCUCCAAGUUAGGAAGUAGUUUCUCUAUUGUUCCCUUUGUCAUUGUGGUGGUAAGCAUUCUGCCUUGUCUUUCUCUUAUCUUAGUACAUGGCUACUAUACUGCUAUAACAUAUUACUUUAUUACAUGUUCAAAAAUCGGAAUAUAUUUCAUUUCUUUUGUUUUCAGUCUGUUUGCACCAUUCUGACUAUGAUUGCUACCUUACCUGUUGCACAACUUUUCUUCUUUCACAUCCUCCUUGUUGAAAAGGUAACUUGGCAGUUGCUUGCUACAUCAUUAAUCUGGUUCAAUGUGUUAUUUCAUUUGUAAAACAUUAGGCAUUAAGAGGAAAAAAGAAAGCAAAAAGAAAAUGAUGGAAGCUAAUUGAAAAAUAUUCUGAUAUUUGUGUACCCUUUUAUGAAUCUUCUACAAGUUCAUCUUUCUAGUAAUUCUCAUUAAGUGUACAUUUUUGGUGCCAAAUGUUAUGGUUAUUGCUGAGUUACUUAAGGAAUUAGCACUUAUGCCAAAUGUCAACUGUUAGCUCACUUACUGGAUUCAGCAGUGCGAGCUCCUUCACUAUGUUCCAGCAGUGCGAGCUCCUUCAGUAUGGGUUUUCAUGUUACAGUCAACGAGGCUCUCUUGGCUGUUGCAGAGAUUUGAGUUCAGUGUCCGUUACAAUUACCGUUACCAUGUCCUCUGAUUCCAUUCCUGAAAAUGAAAACCUCAUCCUUGUGCUGCUUAUCUCUAUUUUACCUUCCUUCCAUUUUCAUUUUUUGAAGCUCAAAACAUGUUCCCUUUCUAAUUCUCAUUUCUCCCUCUCUGUUUAUGUGCAGUUAGGGUGUGGAUCAGUGUCAAUUGAUUUGUUGGCCACUGUUGCUGCUUAUCCCAAACCUGAUGAAAAAAUCAAAAGCACUUCUUUCAAGGUUGAAGGAGGUGGCAAUGCAGCAAAUGCUCUAACCUGUGCUGCUCGCUUGGGACUCAAGCCAAGGCUUAUAUCCAAGGUUGCAGAUGACACUCAUGGCAGGGCCAUAAUAGAUGAAUUACAGGCUGAUGGUGUUGAUACAUCUUUUAUAGUGAUAAACUAACUGUUUGCAAUCUCCAUGAAGCUUUUUGUUUCUGUGAUCUUCAGUUUCUAGUCUUGCAGUUAUCUGAUUUGUUUCUAGUUGUUGGUCGGUAAAUUACUCUUUAUUAUGCAUGUGUAAUUUAUCUUAUUGUGUUAUCUACUUCUCUUUUAUCUGCAGGUAUCCGAGGAAGGGACUUCACCAUUUACUUAUAUCAUUGUGGACAGUCAAACGUAAUGAUCAUUCUAACUGUUGUCAAUCUUUAUUGAAAAUUUGACCUAUAUAGUACUCUCAAUUCAUUACUUACUCUCUUGAUUGUUUUGACUCAUUGUACUAAUCCUAUCUGCAUAUGGCUACACCAUCUUUCUUUAUUGAGUAAUUUGGUUAUCUGAAUUUCAGAAGGAAAAUAAGGGCAUUGAUUAGGUGGAUCUAAUUGAGAAUCUAGUCAAAGUCCCGUGCUUGGAUUUGCUCAUAAAAUAGUGGAUUGUGUUGUAUUUUUAUUUUUCUUGAAUAGAAAAAUCAAAGUAAACAAAAGUUGCAAACCCUUUUUUGCCUAUACUUCUCUUUUUAUUUUUCUUGAAUAGAAAAAUCAAAGUAAACAAAAGUAAGCAGGUUAAUACUGGAAUUCUCUGUUCUAUGAUAUUUGGCAAAGUUUUUCAUGAGAAAAAUGUCUUGAUAUGCCUUUCACUCGAAGGCAGAGUAGCUGAAAAUCAGACAGGUUCAUCUUUUAUGAACUAAAAAUCGAGUCAAUGAGGCAAUGAUGCUCUUCAUGAAAUUGAGUUAGUCCUUGUUCUAGCUGUUAAAUACUAACUGCUAAAUCCUCUGUUAAAUCUUGCUGAUCAAAUUAUCUUUUUUGCAAAGCCUGGAGCAAUUAUUGGUCUCUCUGGAAUCUUAAGUGAACAGGUGUCAAAAAUAUUCACUAUUCUUAGAAGGCAUAGAAGUGUCGAAAAUGGAUGACUGGGUCUGUGUGAGUGGCAGAAAAAUAAAUAAUAUAGAGUUGAUGUAUACUAAGAAUUAUAGUUGAUGAUCAACACAUUUUGUUUAUGUUUUGAAUUAUAUUGAGUUGCUUGUUUAUAGUACUUUUCUUUUAGUUUGAUAAUACGAUGAAUUUGUUUAUUUUUUGAAAUAUUAUAAAUAUUCGAAUAAAAAUUAGAUAAAAAUUUGUAUUAAAUUUA